rnacentral:piRNA from 1 species
UGCAAACUACCAGUUGGAGGAUCCUAU